ACACACAGACACACACACACACACACACACACACACACACACAAACCCAAAAAACCUCCCUAGAUGAAUAACAAUUACCUGCCUUCUAUAAUCAUGCAUAUAUUGUUACAAUGAAUGUUGUAAAGUUGGUUACGUGAUGUUCAUGUUUUUAAACUGAGUUAUUGUCAUUUUCACUAAGAUUCUGUCACAGUAAUCUCUGAAAGGGUUUAAUUGAAAAGAUUUUCUUUCUCUGUUUACUCAUUUACUCAUUCAUUCAUAUAAAAAAUUUUAAAAAUUGCCUAAAAUGUCAAUCAUUGGCUAGACCCAAUAACCAAAAGCCAGUAACUGCCCUCAAGAAUUUUACAAUCUAGUGAGGAAGAUAUGUUUAGACAGGUCAUUAAAAAAACAAAACCUAGCACCAAGUUAUGUAGAACUCAGAGAAACAAUUGAUUGAAAUUAAUCAGUUUUUUGAAUUUCAAAGGAUGAAAUGAUUUGGGACAAAGUGGGGUAAGGUGUUCCAGGAGAAAGAAAUAAAAAAAUAAAGACUCAGAGGCAAAAAGACUCAGAGGCAGGUUCGGGGGUGGGGAUUGGUAAUGGGUAAAGCUUCUUACCCUGCAGGACAGGGGGCAAAGACAGUGAGAUGCAUUAGGGGACUUUGAGGUUUGUCAUUUAGAGCACUGGAUGAAUGUUAAUUUCAUUGACUGAAAUUGAAAGCAGGAGGAGGGCAGGUUGGGAAUGGAGGAGAUAAUGAGUCUUUAUGGGAUUUGCUUGCAGUACAUGCAGAGAGAGAGAGGCAGCCUUAGCUCAUAAAAAUGCAUUGGGAAUUGAAAAUAUACGUUUGGAAAUUGAGGUAAUCACUGAUAGCUGAAGCCCAAAAGGUGGAUAAGGAUGAGUUCCUCUGAAGAAUAUUUAAAGGGUAGACAAAGAGGAGGUUGUGAAGGUGCCUAAGAACAAGCAAUUAAGAGAAAAAGGAGAUGAAGAAAGAGAUGGCCUGGAAGCCCAGAGAGUUUUAAUCAUGUAACAUUCGUAGUUACAAAGUUCCGUUGUGUGCCAGGCACUAUGCUGUUUACUAGAGAUGCAAAUGAAUAACACAUAGGAGCUUAUAAAGGAAUGGAGAAAAACAGAGAUAUGCAAACAGAUCAACUAAAGUGUGUGCGUGUGUGUGUGUGUGUGUGUGUGUGAGAGAGAGGGAGAGAGAGAGAGAGAGUGGGCGAUCCGUGAUCCAUGCAGGAUAGAGGAUCAUUUCAAGAGAGUGCUGCAGAGCAGUCCCAGAGGAUUUGGAAUGAAAAGAAGCUACUGAAUUGAAGGUCUAGGAGGUCAUUGGUAAUCUUGGCAAGAGAAGUCAUCAUAAAAGAUAGUGACAAAGUGAGAUGAAAAGUGACAAAGUAAGUGAAAAGAUGAUAGUGAAAAGUACGAUAGUGACAAAGUAAGGUGGGUAAAUAAAAAUUAUAUUUUUCUGACUUUUUUGUCAGUGAAUGAAAAGAGAGAGAGAGAAUGGUGACCAGAGGAGGACAGUUCAAGCUUUUCCAAUAACAUUCAGAAACUAUCCAAUAUUUAUUGAGUGUCUAUUAGGUGCCAAGCACCUUAAUAGGUCCUGUGGAUCUGAGAUGCAGUCCCUGUCUUAGAUCUCAUGGUCUACUGGAGGACACAGAGAAGUAAGCAGGCAGUUGCAGUACAAUGUAACACUGAGUGCUCUCUGUGUGUGAUGGUGAAUGGAGGCUGCUGUGGGAAACUAUAAAAGCAUCUAACAGGGAUAAGUAGUAGGUUUAUGGAAUGCUUUCUGGGGUAAUUGAAGCCUGAAUUCAGGCCUUUGAGCUGAGGCCUGAAUAAUGAGCAUGGGUGGGGAACAGUUUCCAGGAAGGAGGUAGUGCCUGUGCAGAGGCUCAGAGGAAAGGAGACCAUGUUGCAGAGGGAACUGAAAUUAGUUCUGUCUGGCUGCAACUUAGAGUCGGGUACAGUGACAGGGGUUAACAAAGAGCCAUUGAAGUUUUAAAGCAGAGGAAUGAUAUAUUCAGAUUUGCAUUUUAUAAAACUCUUCUACUUUAUAAAAUGGAAGAUAGGAGACAGUCUGUUACUCUUUUUUAGACUCACGGUUUAUUAUUAAACACCUGAUAGGAGUCAUAGGCAAGGCAGGAAACAGAUAUCAUGUUCAAUGUGUUUAAAUGAGGAAAGUUUAAUGAAAGGACUCUUCACAGAGUUGACAGGGUAAGGGACCCACAGUCUGGUGAGAAGCUGAAAGGAAGAAGGGUACAUAUCCUGAUUUCUCUCACCUCCUACUUUCUGAUCUCUUGGUGGUGCCUCCCGUGAUCCAAAAACCAAGCAAGGCCAGAGGGUAGAGGGGCCCAAAACAUGCUGUUCAUAGAGGACAGACUCCUGGGGCACAAAGUAGGGCACUGAAAGGUAGAGAAUGGAUGGAGGUAAGGGGACGGAAAGCCACCAGCACACAAAUGAUACAGGCAGGGUUCACUGUAGGAAGCUGAAACCACUCUGGAUAUUUAAAAACAAAAAAACAAAAAACAAAGGGCUUUCAUCCAAGCAAUUCACUGCUUCUGAAAUCUGUGGAAGGACUGGAGAAGUUGAGGUCAGCAGGCUGUUGAAUUCAAAGUCACAUGCUUUGUGGUGAACAUUACUAGUAUUCACUAGUAUCUGGUCCUCCUUGACUUCUGAGUAUAUGGGAGUUUACAGUUCCUAGUUCCCUUGCAGUUAGGUGGGGCCUUGUGAUGAGUUCUAGCCAAUAAAAUGCGAGAAGUGACGUGUCACUUCCAGGAUGAGACAGUGAAAAGCCUUUGGGCAGUUCUCUAGACUUCCUCUUCCCUGCCGCAAUAGUUAUAGAGGAGACCUUGGGUUAAGAUGUAGCAACCACAAGAUUGAAACAGCCCAAAUCUCUUAAGUCAGCACAUGGAGAGCAGCUGCCCACACCUGCAGGAAGCAUUUUGUCUCUGGAUGUUGACGUCAAGGAUGAUGCUGGACGCCAGAUGUGGAAGAUGGAGAAGCCUCUACCUGCCUGGGUCUCUACUGGCAAUUUAUAACCAGGAAAUCGGUCUGCGAGCCAUAGUGAUCAACUGGUAACAUCAGCUUUGAAAAUUUCCAAGGCCAACGUCAUCUCAGUUAUGAGGUAUGGUACUUUGGGGAAUCUAUUGGAUGUUUGUUUACGUACU